rnacentral:rRNA from 1 species
GGACUACUGGGGUUUCUAAUCCUGUUUGCUCCCCACGCUUUCGCACCUCAGCGUCAGUAUCGGACCAGUGAGCCGCCUUCGCCACCGGUGUUCUUGCGAAUAUCUACGAAUUUCACCUCUACACUCGCAAUUCCACUCACCUCUUCCGAACUCAAGACUUCCAGUAUCAAAGGCAGUUCCGAGGUUGAGCCCCGGGAUUUCACCCCUGACUUAAAAGUCCGCCUACAUGCGCUUUACGCCCAGUAAAUCCGAACAACGCUAGCCCCCUUCGUAUUACCGCGGCUGCUGGCAC